rfam:Beta vulgaris subsp. vulgaris Bvchr6.sca004.con0200.1, whole genome shotgun sequence.
GUACACCCCAGAGGAGUGUACUGAGAAUACAGGAUGUAAUUAGCUUCUGUAACCAAUUUUGCUAAUUAUCUCUUGUGUUCUCAGGUCACCCCUUUGGGGCAUAU